rnacentral:tRNA from 1 species
GCGGGUAUCGUAUAAUGGUUAUUAUGUUAGCCUUCCAAGCUUAAGAUAGGGGUUCGAUUCCCCUUACCCGCUCCA